rnacentral:rRNA from 1 species
ACACUGGUACUGAGACACGGACCAGACUCCUACGGGAGGCAGCAGUAAGGAAUAUUGGACAAUGGUCGCAAGACUGAUCCAGCCAUGCCGCGUGCAGGAUGACAGCCCUAUGGGUCGUAAACUGCUUUUGUACGGGAAAAAACCUCUUUACGUGUAAAGAGCUGAUUGUACUGUAAGAAUAAGGAUCGGCUAACUCCGUGCCAGCAGCCGCGGUAAUACGGAGGAUCCAAGCGUUAUCCGGAUUUAUUGGGUUUAAAGGGUGCGUAGGCGGCUUAUUAAGUCAGGGGUGAAAGACGGUAGCUUAACUAUCGCAGUGCCUUUGAUACUGAUGAGCUUGAAUGUAGUUGAGGUAGGCGGAAUGUGACAAGUAGCGGUGAAAUGCAUAGAUAUGUCACAGAACACCAAUUGCGAAGGCAGCUUACUAAAGUAUGAUUGACGCUGAGGCACGAAAGCGUGGGGAUCAAACAGGAUUAGAUACCCUGGUAGUCCACGCCCUAAACGAUGAUUACUCGACAUCAGCGAUACACUGUUGGUGUCUGAGCGAAAGCAUUAAGUAAUCCACCUGGGAAGUACGACCGCAAGGUUGAAACUCAAAGGAAUUGACGGGGGCCCGCACAAGCGGAGGAGCAUGUGGUUUAAUUCGAUGAUACGCGAGGAACCUUACCCGGGCUUGAAAGUUAGUGAAUGAUUCAGAGACGAAUCAGUCCUUCGGGACACGAAACUAGGUGCUGCAUGGCUGUCGUCAGCUCGUGCCGUGAGGUGUUGGGUUAAGUCCCGCAACGAGCGCAACCCCUAUCACUAGUUGCCAUCAGGUAAUGCUGGGAACUCUAGUGAAACUGCCGCCGUAAGGCGUGAGGAAGGAGGGGAUGAUGUCAAGUCAUCAUGGCCUUUAUGCCCAGGGCUACACACGUGCUACAAUGGGGAGGACAAAGGGCUGCAACA